AUACGAAGGGUGCUAGCGUUGUUCGGAAUUACUGGGCGUAAAGAGCAUGUAGGCGGAUAGAUUAGUCAGAGGUGAAAGCCCCGAGCUCAACUCGGGAACUGCCUUUGAUACUGUUUAUCUAGAGACCGAGAGAGGUGAGUGGAAUUCUCAGUGUAGAGGUGAAAUUCGUAGAUAUUGGGAAGAACACCAGCGGCGAAGGCGGCUCACUGGCUCGGAACUGACGCUGAGAUGCGAAAGCGUGGGGAGCGAACAGGAUUAGAAACCCUAGUAGUCC
rnacentral:rRNA from 1 species